AGACACCGUCAACAUGGAAGGUGGCAAGCUCGAAUCGGACGGGUUGCGGGAAACAAAGACUUCUAUCUUGGUACAUUUAGCACACAAGAGGAGGCUGCAGAAGCAUAUGAUAUUGCAGCAAUCAAGUUUAGAGGAACAAGUGAUGUGACCAAAUUUGACAUAAGUAGGUAUGAUGUCAAGAGAAUUUGUUCAAGCUCAACUCUAAUCGCCGGAGACAUCGACACCUUCUCAGUCGCCUCCUCUAGCUAUUACCGACGGCGAACAACAGCAUUCUGAUGAAUUGUCCAACAUGGUGUGGAAUUCGAACAAAGACGAGCAACCACCGCAGAACGAGUGUGGAAACAACACCGAUGAAUUGUCCAACAUGGUGUUUCCUCACUUUAUUUAAUAUCUUUUGCAUUUUAGAGAUAUCAUGGUUUAAUGAUUAGUAAUCAACAUCUUUAACCAAGUUAUUGUUGCUAAUAACUACUUCACUGGAUCGAACGAAAACCUCAAAAAAUGGAUUGGCCAUCCAAGAUUUGAGCUUAUCCGUCACGGUUUGUAUGUCAGUUUGGACAAAGAUUAGACUGUAUAUCUGCAUGCUUGUCUGGGUUGGAAUGAUGGAUAAUCUGGUUUUGUCAGAAACGCUGGCGGAGUCGGAAACUGCGGAAGUGGAGAAUCAGUAGCUAUAGAUAUUGUUGCAGUUUUGGGGAGUUUAGUUUUUUUCUAAGAUGCUGUCUUCUUGUGCGACGGUUUCCGGUGAUGUGUUGAAUAUGUCGAGAGCCAUGGUAUAAUGUUUUCGCAUGUAUUGGUGCAUCAUGUUGCAGGUGGUGUUUUGCAAAAUUUGUCCUUGCCGGAGUAAUCGUAGAGCUGCGUCUUCGGCGGCCAUCUGAGCAAGCUACGGGUCUGGUGUAUGUUGUUUUA